UUAGAAAAUUCAGCACGUGGAUCUUGGAACGGUUUACACAUUUGUUACUGUACGUGACUUAAGACCAGAGUGAUGGAGGAAAAUCCAUACCCCUAUCUUAAGAUCAGCGAUUUCAGUUGCCUGGAGUCAGUUGACACUAGGAGCCUUUGUCCCAAGUGUAACAAGUCCAGGAAAUAUUACUGUUACACUUGCUUUUGCCCUGUGGAGGGAUUGCAGGAAUCUGUGCCAAAGGUCAAGCUCCCACUGAAGAUUGACAUCAUAAAGCACCGGAGCGAGAUCGAUGGUAAAAGUACGUCGGCACAUGCAGCCACCCUGGCUCCUGAUCAAGUCUCAGUCUACACAUAUCCCUGCAUUCCUGACUUCCCUGAUAAGUCUAGGGUGGUGCUAGUAUUCCCAGGAGAAGAUUCGGUCACCUUGGAGCAACUUGCUAAGCAGUGUAGAGUUCUGAGGAAACAGCAAGUAGCAUCUCUGCCUGGUUUUUCUGUCACAGAUGCUGAGAAAAGAAACAAAGGUGACAUGAAGAGUGAAAAUUCGGAAAUAUCAAAAUACCAGGUCAAAGGUCAAGAUAGUUGUGAUGUUGGGCAGAAUGAAGGUCCUAAGGUCAAAGGUCAUCAGGAACAGACAGUGUCUGAAUUGGAAGCUGUGAAUGAACACAAUGAAAGUUCUACAGAAAAAGACAUCUCCGAAAUUUGCAAAUUCAGAGAUGAUGACGGAGAGCCUCCUGUUAAACAAAGACGUAUAAGUUCAGACAAAAUAACUUCCAAUGAUAAGAGUAUGCAGCACAAUACAAAACAGUCUGUAUCUCAACAAACGCAAUGUGUGGAGUCACAACUACCACAAUCAGAUCAACCAGAUCUGGCGGAAGCAUCUGAGAACAACACCACUCCUCAGGCUAUGACACACCCAACGGAAUCUAGUGAUUCACAACUAACACACUCAAAUCAGGCUCAAACUAGAAGUGAUGAGAAAAUUGACUCUUCAGAUCAAUGUCAGGCAGAUCAGUCCCUGAAAAGGCAAUCAGUACCUCACAAAACUGUAGGAAAUAAAAACGCUGCUGUUAAGGACCUGUCUCAACUGACACAAUCAGAGGAAUCACACCUAACACAAGCAGAUUCAGCCACUCCUACAGUGGAAGAAAGAAAUAUAUAUGAGGCUCCUUUUGACAGAGUGGUGUUCAUAGAUUGUACAUGGAAUCAGACCAAAAGUAUCUUCUGUGAUGAGAGGCUGAAAGGUUUGCGCUGCAUUGAGUUGAAGAAGCACAAGACCAAAUUCUGGCGCCAUCAGCGCAACAAACCUGACACAUAUCUCGCCACAGUUGAAGCCAUCUACUACUUCCUGCGUGAAUAUCAUGAUCUCUUUGUUGAUGCAGAGUACAAUGGCCAAUAUGACAACAUGCUUUUCUUCUUCGCAUUUAUGUAUCAGAAAAUCAAGAAUUUAUUUGAUGGUGGAAAAAAUCUAAAGGCGUAUCAGAAACCAAAUAACUAAGUGAUAACUUUAAGUAGUGAGAUCUCUGAAACCCUUGCCAUGUUCUUUAAAGUUUUCCUGCCUGGGAUUUUCCCAUCAUGUCUUCUUGUACAUUGCAGAGGAAAUAUCAAUAUCAGGUUGUACUUGUAACAAGAACUGAGAAUAGUUUCACCUGUUCUCUCAGUAGAUGGCUGAAAUAUCCAAG
rnacentral:misc_RNA from 1 species